rnacentral:lncRNA from 1 species
CAGGCUGACUGAUCGUCGUACUCUUGACAGUGAACUCGUUCCAUGAAAGAUUGAUUGGAAUUGAUCAUCUUCGCUUGACGGUGAACUCGUUUCAUGAAAAACUGAUUGAUCCAUCUCAUCUUCUACUGUAACGUCGUUCCAUGCAAGUCUUUCUCCUUCUGCUUCUGCUUCCUAGCUAAAAGAGCUCUUGAGAGGAAGAGGGGUUUCCUGGAUCCAUUGACGGCAGGAUUUUCUGUUUUUUUUAGAGAGGAAAGUGGGAUUGCUUCGUAUUCACAUAGAUUGGAUGGAUUUGGGAUCUAUGUACUUGGAUUUGGUUCAUUGACAUGACUGACCCAAAAGUCAGAUUUUAGUCAAUUGGAUUUGCUUCUCCACCACUUAAGAUCCAUGGGUGCCCUGAAAUUUUUCACAAAGAAAUAGACUUUAUAAGUAAUUAUAGCUCGAAUUUUAGUUUUCGCGGCUCCAAUUAGUUUAAAGUAGAAUAUCGCUGCUAUCAAACCAAAAGAGAAAAUUCAAAAUCAAGUUUCAAGUUAUUGACAGGUGAAAAUAUACAAAAUUUAAAAUUUAACAAAAAAUCUUAGAUUUAAAAAAAAAAUGAAUUAACAAAAACCCAAAUCACAAGAUGGAAUUUUGGAUUAAAUUCAACCAAAUAAAUUAGAAAAUUAGAAGAAAGUAAGAAACUUACUAAGUGCCUGGUCAGCAGAAAGUCUUCGGGAAACGUCUCUGG